rnacentral:rRNA from 1 species
UAUCCAUAACACCUGUGAACUGUAAGGCUGUCUUGAAAACGAAAGUGAUUAGAGCGCCUGCCCAUUUUAUACAAACAUUAAAGUAACAAACGUAGUCUUAUUAUAAUCUAAUAAAACUUUCAACAACGGAUCUCUUGGCUCUCGCAUCGAUGAAGAACGCAGCGAAAUGCGAUAAGUAAUGUGAAUUGCAGAAUUCAGUGAAUCAUCGAAUCUUUGAACGCACCUUGCGCUCUUUGGUAUUCCGAAGAGCAUGCCUGUUUGAGUGUCAUGAAAAUAUCAACCUUGACUUGGGUUUAGUGCUCUUGUCUUGGCUUGGAUUUGGCUGUUUGCCGCUCGAAAGAGUCGGCUCAGCUUAAAAGUAUUAGCUGGAUCUGUCUUUGAGACUUGGUUUGACUUGGCGUAAUAAGUUAUUUCGCUGAGGACAAUCUUCGGAUUGGCCGAGUUUCUGGGACGUUUGUCCGCUUUCUAAUACAAGUUCUAGCUUGCUAGACAUGACUUUUUUAUUAUCUGGCCUCAAAUCAGGUAGGACUACCCGCUGAACUUAAG